AUGUUUAUAGUCCUAAGGGGGCAUUAGCUUUGAAGGGGCUAAACAGUUAAAACAUA
rnacentral:tRNA from 1 species